rnacentral:rRNA from 1 species
AUAGGGGAGCCGUAGGGAAACCGAGUCUUAACUGGGCGAAUGAGUUGCAGGGUAUAGACCCGAAACCCGGUGAUCUAUCCAUGGGCAGGUUGAAGGUUGGGUAACACUAACUGGAGGACCGAACCGACUAAUGUUGAAAAAUUAGCGGAUGACUUGUGGAUGGGGGUGAAAGGCCAAUCAAACCGGGAGAUAGCUGGUUCUCCCCGAAAGCUAUUUAGGUAGCGCCUCGUGAACUCAUCUUCGGGGGUAGAGCACUGUUUCGACUAGGGGGUCAUCCCGACUUACCAACUCGAUGCAAACUGCGAAUACCGAAGAAUGUUAUCACGGGAGACACACGGCGGGUGCUAACGUCCGUCGUGAAGAGGGAAACAACCCAGACCGCCAGCUAAGGUCCCAAAGUCAUGGUUAAGUGGGAAACGAAGUGGGAAGGCUCAGACAGCCAGGAUGUUGGCUUAGAAGCAGCCAUCAUUUAAAGAAAGCGUAAUAGCUCACUGGUCGAGUCGGCCCGCGCGGAAGAUGUAACGGGGCUAAACCAUGCACCGAAGCUGCGGCAGCGACACAAAGUGUUGUUGGGUAGGGGAGCGUUCUGUAAGCCUGCGAAGGUGUACUGUGAGGUAUGCUGGAGGUAUCAGAAGUGCGAAUGCUGACAUAAGUAACGAUAAUGCGGGUGAAAAACCCGCACGCCGGAAGACCAAGGGUUCCUGUCCAACGUUAAUCGGGGCAGGGUGAGUCGACCCCUAAGGCGAGGCUGAAAAGCGUAGUCGAUGGGAAACGGGUUAAUAUUCCCGUACUGGUGGUAACUGCGAUGGGGGAACGGAGAAGGCUAGGUUGUCCGGGCGACGGUCGUCCCGGUUCAAGCAGGUAGGCAGAGUGAUUAGGCAAAUCCGGUCACUUAAUGCUGAGAUGUGAUGACGAACCACCAAGGUGGUGAAGCAAUUGAUGCCCCGCUUCCAGGAAAAGCCUCUAAGCUUCAGGUUACCAACAAUCGUACCCCAAACCGACACAGGUGGUCAGGUAGAGAAUACUCAGGCGCUUGAGAGAACUCGGGUGAAGGAACUAGGCAAAAUGGUGCCGUAACUUCGGGAGAAGGCACGCUGGCGGUAGGUAAAGUCCCUCGCGGACGGCGCUGAAGCCAGUCGAAGAUACCAGCUGGCUGCAACUGUUUAUUAAAAACACAGCACUGUGCAAACACGAAAGUGGACGUAUACGGUGUGACGCCUGCCCGGUGCUGGAAGGUUAAUUGAUGGGGUCAGCCGUAAGGCGAAGCUCCUGAUCGAAGCCCCAGUAAACGGCGGCCGUAACUAUAACGGUCCUAAGGUAGCGAAAUUCCUUGUCGGGUAAGUUCCGACCUGCACGAAUGGCGUAAUGAUGGCCAGGCUGUCUCCACCCGAGACUCAGUGAAAUUGAACUCGCUGUGAAGAUGCAGUGUACCCGCGGCAAGACGGAAAGACCCCGUGAACCUUUACUAUAGCUUGACACUGAACAUUGAGCCUUGAUGUGUAGGAUAGGUGGGAGGCUUUGAAGUGUGGACGCCAGUCUGCAUGGAGCCAACCUUGAAAUACCACCCUUUAACGUUUGAUGUUCUAACCUAGGCCCAUAAACUGGGUCGGGGACCGUGUCUGGUGGGUAGUUUGACUGGGGCGGUCUCCUCCUAAAGAGUAACGGAGGAGCACGAAGGUUGGCUAAGCAUGGUCGGACAUCAUGCGGUUAGUGCAAAGGCAUAAGCCAGCUUGACUGCGAGAGUGACGGCUCGAGCAGGUACGAAAGUAGGUCUUAGUGAUCCGGUGGUUCUGAAUGGAAGGGCCAUCGCUCAACGGAUAAAAGGUACUCCGGGGAUAACAGGCUGAUACCGCCCAAGAGUUCAUAUCGACGGCGGUGUUUGGCACCUCGAUGUCGGCUCAUCACAUCCUGGGGCUGAAGUAGGUCCCAAGGGUAUGGCUGUUCGCCAUUUAAAGUGGUACGCGAGCUGGGUUUAGAACGUCGUGAGACAGUUCGGUCCCUAUCUGCCGUGGGCGUUGGAAGAUUGAGAGGGGUUGCUCCUAGUACGAGAGGACCGGAGUGAACGCACCACUGGUGUUCGGGUUGUCAUGCCAAUGGCAUUGCCCGGUAGCUAAGUGCGGAAGAGAUAACCGCUGAAAGCAUCUAAGCGGGAAACUUGCCUCGAGAUGAGUCUUCCCUGUC